CCUUUGACGUUAGCGGCGGACGGGUGAGUAACACGUGGGUAACCUACCUAUAAGACUGGUAUAACUUCGGGAAACCGGAGCUAAUACCGGAUAAUAUUUCGAACCGCAUGGUUCGAUAGUGAAAGGUGGUUUUGCUAUCACUUAUAGAUGGACCCGCGCCGUAUUAGCUAGUUGGUAAGGUAACGGCUUACCAAGGCGACGAUACGUAGCCGACCUGAGAGGGUGAUCGGCCACACUGGAACUGAGACACGGUCCAGACUCCUACGGGAGGCAGCAGCC
rnacentral:rRNA from 1 species